AGAAUUGCGGGGGGACAUCUCU
rnacentral:miRNA from 1 species